rnacentral:rRNA from 1 species
GGCGAACGCUGGCGGCGUGCUUAACACAUGCAAGUCGAACGGAAAGGCCUGCUUUCCCUUGUGGACUGCGGGUACUCGAGUGGCGAACGGGUGAGUAACACGUGAGUGAUCUGCCCCCAACUUGGGUAUAAGCCUGGGAAACUGGGUCUAAUUCCCGAUAGGACUGCAGGGUGGUGCCUGUGGUGGAAAACGAUUUUCUAGUGGUUGGGGAUGAGCUCGCGGCCUAUCAGCUUGUUGGUGGGGUAAUGGCCUACCAAGGCGGCGACGGGUAGCCGGCCUGAGAGGGUGGACGGCCACAUUGGGACUGAGAUACGGCCCAGACUCCUACGGGAGGCAGCAGUGGGGAAUAUUGCACAAUGGGCGGAAGCCUGAUGCAGCGACGCCGCGUGGGGGAUGACGGCCUUCGGGUUGUAAACUCCUUUCGACCGCGAGGAAGCCACCUGGUUGGAAGGGUGGUGACGGUAGUGGUAGAAGAAGCACCGGCUAACUACGU